GGAGAUCGAGACCAUCCUGGCCAACAUGGUGAAACCCCAUCUCUACUAAAAAUACAAAAAUUAGCUAGGUGUGGUGGCGCAUGCCUGUAAUCCCAGCUCCUCAGGAGGCUGAGGCAGGAGAAUAGCUUGAACCUGGGAGGUGGAGGUUGCAGUGAGCUGAGAUUGCACCACUGCACUCCAGCCUGGCGAUAAAGCUAGACUCCAUCUCAAAAAAAAUAAAAAUAAAAAAUAAAAAGACCACUGUAUGUAUUAUUUCCUUCACCUGAUUUCUUUCCUUCUCAAUUAAUUUUGAUGUAAGAAUAUGACGAGGCACAUUAUGUACAACAUACACAAUAGUCCUUCUUGGGGUGGAGUUCAGUGGGAACGUCUUCCCAUCUAAUACAUGACACGCUAGGAUGUUUUUAAAUGACAGCAUCCAUCAUCAACUGUAAUGCAGAAGCAUUUUCCUCCACACCAGUUUUCCUCUUUGAAUUACGCAUUGUGAGUUUACCAAUCUAAAUCAACUUCAAAGAAACUCCGUGGGAAAAUCUCUUGUCUUUUCCACACAUGUCCUCUAUGCUAGAAUGUUUUGUCUUUGACAUGGACUCAACCACUGUUUCAAAAGUAGUUUUGUGAAGUCAUCAAGAGACUAACAGAUCUGUGUAAGGGGUGCAGCAGAAUUGAUCUAAUCCUCAUGGCAUCUUCUUUUGUCUCGUUGCAGAUUUUACCAUCACCUGUGCAGGGUUCUGAGGACAACCUGAGUUUAUUAAGCCUACCACGAAGUGAAGAUUAUGAUGGUGAUCAUGAUGAUGAUGAUGAUGAUGAUGAUGCCCAGAUUUCACCGUCAUCUGUCCAGGGUUCUUCUGAGAACAACCUGAGUUUAGUAAGCCUACCACGAAGUGAAACUAAUGAUUGGGAUGAUGAUGAUGACGAUGAUGACGAUGAUGAUGAUGAUGGCCAGAUUUUACCAUUGCCUGACCAGGGUACGUACCUUGAACUAACUCACUUUCUGAGAAACAACCUUGCUGGCUUUAAUAUAUAG
rnacentral:lncRNA from 10 species